UCUCGAACAUUCACCACCUGAGGAACGUUCUUCAGAGUUGAUUCAGUCAAGGAGGUGCUUACAGCUUUAAGAAAAAAAAAAAAAAAGGAGGUAAAGAUGAUCUCCAUAUUAAGCAUUUCAAUCAAUAUAGUGCCUGUAAUAACUCCAGAAGAAAUCCAUGCAAGUUUCUAGAAGUUUCCUGCACACAGAUCAGCCGCCGUGCCAGGAUCUCCAGAGUCAUCGACAUUUCUGUCAUUGCACAGACAAAGGCACCUGAGGAUCUGAAGCACUGGCAAUAGAUAGAGUGGUUAAAGAUAUUGACAAGGAUACACGCAGAUCGCAAAAACAACUCGCACAAAGUACCCAGGGGAAGGUGCUGUUUCCCAAAGGAUGGAGACUGAGGCAUCAAACCAGGCUGGAUAGAGGGGGUUCGGACCACAGGAGCAUGACGAGGGACUUGGACUGGAGCAGCCUCUUCUUCCUGGUCCAC